rnacentral:rRNA from 2 species
AAAUUGAAGAGUUUGAUCAUGGCUCAGAUUGAACGCUGGCGGCAGGCCUAACACAUGCAAGUCGAACGGUAACAGGAAGCAGCUUGCUGCUUUGCUGACGAGUGGCGGACGGGUGAGUAAUGUCUGGGAAACUGCCUGAUGGAGGGGGAUAACUACUGGAAACGGUGGCUAAUACCGCAUAACGUCGCAAGACCAAAGAGGGGGACCUUCGGGCCUCUUGCCAUCAGAUGUGCCCAGAUGGGAUUAGCUUGUUGGUGAGGUAACGGCUCACCAAGGCGACGAUCCCUAGCUGGUCUGAGAGGAUGACCAGCCACACUGGAACUGAGACACGGUCCAGACUCCUACGGGAGGCAGCAGUGGGGAAUAUUGCACAAUGGGCGCAAGCCUGAUGCAGCCAUGCCGCGUGUAUGAAGAAGGCCUUCGGGUUGUAAAGUACUUUCAGCGGGGAGGAAGGUGUUGUGGUUAAUAACCGCAGCAAUUGACGUUACCCGCAGAAGAAGCACCGGCUAACUCCGUGCCAGCAGCCGCGGUAAUACGGAGGGUGCAAGCGUUAAUCGGAAUUACUGGGCGUAAAGCGCACGCAGGCGGUCUGUCAAGUCGGAUGUGAAAUCCCCGGGCUCAACCUGGGAACUGCAUUCGAAACUGGCAGGCUUGAGUCUUGUAGAGGGGGGUAGAAUUCCAGGUGUAGCGGUGAAAUGCGUAGAGAUCUGGAGGAAUACCGGUGGCGAAGGCGGCCCCCUGGACAAAGACUGACGCUCAGGUGCGAAAGCGUGGGGAGCAAACAGGAUUAGAUACCCUGGUAGUCCACGCCGUAAACGAUGUCUACUUGGAGGUUGUGCCCUUGAGGCGUGGCUUCCGGAGCUAACGCGUUAAGUAGACCGCCUGGGGAGUACGGCCGCAAGGUUAAAACUCAAAUGAAUUGACGGGGGCCCGCACAAGCGGUGGAGCAUGUGGUUUAAUUCGAUGCAACGCGAAGAACCUUACCUGGUCUUGACAUCCACAGAACUUUCCAGAGAUGGAUUGGUGCCUUCGGGAACUGUGAGACAGGUGCUGCAUGGCUGUCGUCAGCUCGUGUUGUGAAAUGUUGGGUUAAGUCCCGCAACGAGCGCAACCCUUAUCCUUUGUUGCCAGCGAUUCGGUCGGGAACUCAAAGGAGACUGCCAGUGAUAAACUGGAGGAAGGUGGGGAUGACGUCAAGUCAUCAUGGCCCUUACGACCAGGGCUACACACGUGCUACAAUGGCGCAUACAAAGAGAAGCGACCUCGCGAGAGCAAGCGGACCUCAUAAAGUGCGUCGUAGUCCGGAUUGGAGUCUGCAACUCGACUCCAUGAAGUCGGAAUCGCUAGUAAUCGUGGAUCAGAAUGCCACGGUGAAUACGUUCCCGGGCCUUGUACACACCGCCCGUCACACCAUGGGAGUGGGUUGCAAAAGAAGUAGGUAGCUUAACCUUCGGGAGGGCGCUUACCACUUUGUGAUUCAUGACUGGGGUGAAGUCGUAACAAGGUAACCGUAGGGGAACCUGCGGUUGGAUCACCUCCUUA